GUGCCAGCCGCCGCGGUAAUACCGGCAGCCCGAGUGAUGGCCGAUCUUAUUGGGCCUAAAGCGUCCGUAGCUGGCCAGACAAGUCCGUUGGGAAAUCCACGCGCUCAACGCGUGGGCGUCCAGCGGAAACUGCACAGCUUGGGACCGGAAGGCUCGAAGGGUACGUUCGGGGUAGGAGUGAAAUCCCAUAAUCCCGCACGGACCACCGAUGGCGAAAGCACUUCGAGAAAACGGUUCCGACAGUGAGGGACGAAAGCCAGGGUCUCCAACCGGAUUAGAAACCCCUGUGUCC
rnacentral:rRNA from 1 species